AUUUUGGCGGUAUUUUAAGCUUAUUAGAGGAAUUUGCUCUGUGAUGGAUACAACGCCUCGAUCUUACUUAAUUUGGUUUUAAAAGUCAGUUUGUAUACCACUAUAUUUAAUUAUAUUGAAUAAUUAUAUUUAAGAUUUUUAUAAAAAAAAUAUAUUAAGUCAAGGUGCAAUUAAUAAUUAUGAAUGAAGUGAAUUACAUUAAUUUUAAUUUUAUUAAAAUAUUGAAAAAAAAAUUUUUAGGAUUUAAUAGUAAAAUG
rnacentral:rRNA from 1 species